rnacentral:rRNA from 1 species
GACGGAGGGUGCUAGCGUUGUUCGGAAUUACUGGGCGUAAAGGGCGCGUAGGCGGCCAUUUAAGUCGGUUGUGAAAGCCCGGGGCUCAACCCCCGAACGGCAGCUGAGACUGGGUGGCUCGAGACCGGGAGAGGAGGGUUGAAUACCCAGUGUAGAGGUGAAAUUCGUAGAUAUUGGGUGGAACACCGGUGGCGAAAGCGGCUCUCUGGCCCGGUUCUGACGCUGAUGCGCGAAAGCGUGGGGAGCAAACAGG